rnacentral:rRNA from 1 species
CCUACGGGUGGCAGCAGUGAGGAAUAUUGGUCAAUGGGCGCGAGCCUGACCCAGCCACGUAGCGUGAAGGAUGACUGCCCUACGGGUUGUAACCUUCUUUUAUAAAGGAAUAAAGUGAGGCACGUGUGCCUUUUUGUAUGUCCUUUAUGAAUAAGGAUCGGCUAACUCCGUGCCAGCAGCCGCGGUAAUACGGCGGAGCCGAGCGUUAUCCGGAUUUAUUGGGUUUAAAGGGAGCGUAGAUGGGUUGUUAAGUCAGUUGUGAAACUUCACGGCUCAACCGUGAAAUUGCAAUUGAUACUGGCAGUCUUGAGUACAGUUGAGGUAGGCGGAAUUCGUGGUGUAGCGGUGAAAUGCUUAGAUAUAACGAAGAACUCCGAUUGCGAAGGCAGCUUACUAAACUGCCACUGACGUUGAUGCUCGAAAGUGUGGGUAGCAAACAGGAUUAGAUACCCUAGUAGUC